rnacentral:rRNA from 1 species
AUGUAUUCUAAAAAACUAAUAUUCCCAAAGCUUCUUGGUAUAGAGCCUGAGAAUUUGUUUGCUUGGAGAAACAAUUGUUCUAGACGCCAGAGCAUACCAAUUUGUAUCGGGAUAGGACCUGACAUGUCAUUGUUGGAGAGACCGAGCCACACAAGAUUUUCUAACUUAGCGAUGGACCCUGGGACUGGCUUGGUGAGUAGGUUGUCACUAAGAUCUAGCCGUACAAGGCUACUUAUGUUUGAAAUAGCAACUGGAAGUCCACCUAUUAACUGGUUUUUGCUUGCAAUGAAAGUAACAAGUUUUGAACUAAGGUUUCCUACAAGACUUGGGAGGAUGGCAGUGAAAGAAUUAGCUUCUAUUGUAAGGACCUGGAGUUGUUUGCACUGGGAAAGCACUGACAAGAAGUCUAGAUUCCCCUCCAAAUUGUUACUUCACAAAAUAAGCUUGUUCAAAGCUGCAUUUUGCCCAAGUGUAAUUGGUACUUGA